rnacentral:rRNA from 1 species
GAGUUUGAUCCUGGCUCAGGAUGAACGCUGACAGAAUGCUUAACACAUGCAAGUCUUUGGCGAAGCUGUGCUUGCACAGCCUAGCCAAGGCGGACGGGUGAGUAACGCGUAAGGGACUUGCCCUGCAGUCAGGGAUAACAGACGGAAACGACUGAUAAGACCUGGUAAAGUCAGGCGGACUCAUGUCCAGCCUGAUGAAAAGAGAUGCUGCAGGAGAGCCUUGCGUCCUAUUAGCUUGUUGGUGGGGUAACGGCCCACCAAGGCGAUGAUAGGUAGCCGGCCUGAGAGGGUGGACGGCCACAAGGGGACUGAGAUACGGCCCUUACUCCUACGGGAGGCAGCAGUGGGGAAUAUUGGACAAUGGGGGCAACCCUGAUCCAGCAAUUCUGUGUGCACGAAGAAGGUUUUCGGAUUGUAAAGUGCUUUCAGCAGGGAAGAAGAAAGUGACGGUACCUGCAGAAGAAGCGACGGCUAAAUACGUGCCAGCAGCCGCGGUAAUACGUAUGUCGCGAGCGUUAUCCGGAAUUAUUGGGCAUAAAGGGCAUCUAGGCGGAUAUACAAGUCAGGGGUGAAAACUUAGGGCUCAACUCAAAGCUUGCCUUUGAAACUGUAUAUCUAGAGUGCUGGAGAGGUGGACGGAACUACACGAGUAGAGGUGAAAUUCGUAGAUAUGUGUAGGAAUGCCGAUGAUGAAGAUAGUCCACUGGACAGCAACUGACGCUGAAGUGCGAAAGCUAGGGGAGCAAACAGGAUUAGAUACCCUGGUAGUCCUAGCUGUAAACGAUGAUUACUGGGUGUGGGCAUGAAGAGUGUCCGUGCCGAAGCUAAUGCGAUAAGUAAUCCGCCUGGGGAGUACGGCCGCAAGGCUGAAACUCAAAGGAAUUGACGGGGACCCGCACAAGCGGUGGAGUAUGUGGUUUAAUUCGAAGCAACGCGAAGAACCUUACCAGGCCUUGACAUUGACUGAAAGCGCUAGAGAUAGUGCCCUCUCUUCGGAGACAGGAAAACAGGUGGUGCAUGGCUGUCGUCAGCUCGUGUCGUGAGAUGUUGGGUUAAGUCCCGCAACGA